rnacentral:rRNA from 1 species
CUGGGGAGACUGCCGGUGAUAAACCGGAGGAAGGCGGGGAUGACGUCAAGUCCUCAUGGCCCUUACAUCCCGGGCUACACACGUGCUACAAUGGCAGGUACAGAGGGCUGCGAAGCCGCGAGGUGGAGCGAAUCCCAGAAAACCUGUCUCAGUCCGGAUUGAAGUCUGCAACUCGACUUCAUGAAGGCGGAAUCGCUAGUAACCGCGAAUCAGCAGGUCGCGGUGAAUACGUUCCCGGGCCUU